ensembl:lncRNA
AUUUUCUUAUAUAGCCACAAUGCUACCCCACCUAACAGUAACCUGUCUUUGAUAUAUCCCAUCCAUAUUCAAACUUCCCUAUUUGCCGUCAAAUGGCUUUUUCAGUUAGUUUGCUUGAAUCAGGAUAAAAACAAGACCUACACAGUGCAUUUAGUUAUCAAGACUUCUUUUAAUCUAGGGUGGUCUGUGUCCCUAUGAGAGUUUGAGAGGGUUUUAUAGUGUGAUGGGCUCAAGGUCUGAGACCUAGGGAAGCCCUGUACAGGCCAGGUGUUGGGCUGUUACCUAAUUUGCCUCAGGUAGAAAAACUUUUGCCAACAAAGUUAAAUCAUAAUUAUCAUUCAACAAGUUUUCAUGUCCAUUAUAUGUAUUCUUGGCACUGGGCGAGGCACUGAAGGUCCAGAAAGACAUGAGACACGAUCCCUGGGCUCAGAAAUCAGGCAGAGAGUGUCUGCUUUUUGACCACGAAAGUUUCUGCUGCAUGACCCACCAGAGGAUGUGAUGUUGCAGUAGAGGGAGGAGUGUGGCUGUCUCCAGGGAACCAGUCAAAGUGCAAUGCUGCAGAGUCCUGCUUAUGGCUUUUCUUUACAGUGUUGGAAUACACCAGACAACUGAGACUGCUGGCAAUUUUAAAGCCCAGUCAGAAAGGUGCCUAGUGAUUAGAGACAGGAGAUUCUGCCCUCCAUGCUAACACCCUCUCCCUUAGGGACGUACUGUCUGAUGUCAUAUUCCUUGGUCAGUAUAAAUUGUGUCAAGCCUCCAUAAAUAUGCCAAGUACUAGAUAUCAUUUGAAAAAUGGUUAAUGUCUCCCAGGAAGUAGCAUUCUAAAGGAAAAUAUAUACAAAAAAAUUUUUCCCCUUAUAUUUUCUUUAAUUAUGUCUUCUUCCUAAUUUGGAAGGAAUUCUUGAAAGUGAUGAGUUUACAGGGAAGAAAGGAGAAAGUCUUUUUUCUCAGGAAUAUGUGUAUUAGGGAGACAAAUGCCAAAGCUGGACCAAAACAGCACGGAGAGAAGCCUGGGGGGCAGGAAGGGCUCUGGACUGAGAAAUGGAAAGCCCUGGAGCUGAAGUCCUCGCUCUUCACUUACAGUUAUUUUAAAUUGAGCAAGUCACCAAACUUGCUUAAAAUCAGUUUUCCUUUCUAUAAAAUAACAAUGCCUUUUUCAUACGGCCUGUAAUGAAGAUGAAAUAAAAGAUGAUAAUUUCAAAACUUUCUAGACUUUGCAGCCCCCUUACAAAUAGGAAAGGAGUAUUAUUAUUACGGCCAUUAGGAGGAGGAAACCUGUCUGAAUUCUUUGGAAGAACAAAUAUUUACGAGAGUACUGUGUGGAUCAGAAGAUGGUGAGCCAAGGUCCUUGGAACUCAGAAUGAAGAAUGGUUCAAGACUAUUUAUUUAUUUAUUUCCAGAAUAAAGAAUGAAGUAUUUUUAAAAAUGAUGUAACUUUGUCUCAAUCUCUAUCAGUGUAGUAGCAAGAAUAAAAUUAACCUGACGUGUUGAGUAGGCUAAAUUCAUUCCGUGGCAGUGUUAAUGAGGAAUGCCUCUGCUUCAGUAUAAAAUAGAGUUAUAAUAAUGAAAAAUUGGCUUAUUGAGUACAGGUAUACACUACUGGGUCUUCUAUAAAGUUGAGAAGUCAGUGAACUUGUAGCUAUAUAGUGUAUUGAUUAUUUGCACAGAAAUUAUGACUUAAAUGCUAGUGGGAGAAAGAAAGGGGAGAUUUGACUAUUUGACCUUCAUACAACUGGGAGUCAGAAAACUUCAAGAGGGCGUGACAGGGAGACGGAUUUCAGAACCAGAGGAAGGUGUGAAAAGUGUAAAUACAACAGUCAAAUAUCCUCUGGGUGCCUUAAAACUAAGCUGGGGGACAAUUUUGUUUUUGUUAGUAUUCUGGGUGCUCAAUCUGUGGUAAUUACAAUAUAUGGCAAUGUAAAACUUGCAUUGAUGCCAGCCCCCUUCGAUGUUCUAGGUAUUCUUGGAUGGUCAUUAAGUAAACCAAGCAUAUGCUGGUAUGUUCAGCUGAGCCCUUCUAGAAUUUCCAACAGAAAGCCAUUGAAUUAGGUGAUGAAGGUGGAAGGUAAAGAAGUAUCAAAUAAGAGGAGUGGUGAAAUUCAGAGUAACAAGGAUUGCUUGUAUAACAGCACAUAAGAUGCCUUUAUUUUAAUGGUGUAUCUAAACUAUAGGAUGAUUUAAACACUUGGCAUGUUAUGACUACAUCACUCUCCACCACGAAAUUACCAUUUCUAUUUCUUUAGUAUCAUCUAUUUUUGUAUCAUACAUUUUAUUUAUUGAGCACCUACUAUUCGGGAGCACAGUGUCAGGUGUAUGUGAGGGAACAGUCUUCAUUCGUCAAUGGCAGAGUGAGAUCAAGCAUGAUUAAAAACUCAACAGUAACCAGGGGUGGAUAAUUACUAAUGCAUUAGUGGCAAGUGCCAUUUCAGACGAAUGGGAAGAGGAAUGACGCAGAUAGUUUUUGCUCUGUCUCUUUUCUGGCAAUAUGAUUGUCACAUACUCAGGCCUUGCAAGGAUUCCAAGUUGUAAGUAUUGAGGGUAUCUAGUGAAUUAGAGACGUUAAUCAGUUAGCUGUUCCAUCCUGUGUCUCUAGGACUUGGACACUCUCUUUAGAUCUCAUUGCCAGACAUGUAAAAAACUGCCCUAAGACAUGAUCCUAAGACUUCCUCAAUAGAAUAUGAUCCCUAUGAGGGCAGUACUGGGGUCUAUCUUAGUCGCAACUGCAUCUCCAGUCCCUCACAUUGUGUCUGAAACAGAGUGGGAAUUCGGUAAAUAAAAAACUUUAUAUUUGUUGGAGAAAGAUCUUCCCUGAAACAGAAAAUUCCUUUGAAGCUUAAAUGUAUAUCACAAAGCUCUGAGGCCAUUAGAUGAAGUCUGAAAAAGAAAUGAGCACUUUUAGAAUCACUACAUUUCUUCCGAUGGACAGUAUAUCCCUCCAUCACAAGGAGCACCCAUACACAUAUGCCUACGCCCGUGCAUACCUACGUAGACUCACGUCUGCCCACUUUUUGGUCCUCUGAGCUUUUUAAUCUAGUUUAGAAAAAGAAAGGAAAAUGACAUGAAUUGAAAGUUGUACACUGUAGGCUUUAGACCUUAAAAGACAGUAUAUCAUCAGAGAAAUAAAUCCUUUCUUCUGAGACUGCCUGUAAUUUUUUUUGGCGAGUUCUCACUCUCCUUUUGCAACUUUCCCUCUUCCUUAGAGGAUUCUUUAAGUUCUAUCCAUCAUCUCAUUUACUGAAAUGUACCUCAUUUGGGAAUGAGAACAUUUUGGCAUAGCUGAGAGCUUUUAAUGGAAAUAUGAGAGAAGACAUUUCUGACAUAUAUAAUACCUUCAAUAUGUUGCCAUAUAUUGCACCAUCUCUGAUGCGUUACCCGAGAUGCAUAACGACAGAUGGGCCGAGGAACGAGAAGGAACACUCCCCAAGUGGGGAUUUCUUUAGAAACCAAAACUCCUUCCAAGGUGCUUUGAGCUAUUCUUAGCAAUUGGGGUUCAACACAUUCACCCCCAACAGAAGCAAAUGUCUGCCAAGAGGCUGCCUGUGGGAGCUUUGUUGCCUAGCAUUUUUCUCCAAACAAGAGUCAAGCCAGGCAGCGUAGUCUUAGACUCAGGGAAACCUAGAGCCAGAGCAUUGAGUCCCUGUUUUCAGGUGUGUGACUGUGGUCAAGUUACCUGACUUCUUCGAACCUAUGAUUCUUCAAUCAUGUAAUGGGGCUGAGAAGCAGUUUCUGUUCCAAACUCUGUAAUAAGCUAUGAGAAUUUUUUACAUAGCGGUGGAGAUUAUGAAAUUUUCAGUGUUCCUUACAGUUCUUUUAUGUAUCUGGAGUGGAAAUAUUUAGGAGGGAUGUUUCUUUUCCUUUUUUGUUUCACCCAAACCUAAUCUAAUCACUCGAUGACUCAAAUUUUUCCUCGAAUGCAAACCACACAUUCCAGGAUAAUGCAAAAUUUCAUUUUGGGGUGAGAGGAGUGAGCAAUAAUGUGAUUUGACCAUGUAUUAUGGGGUUAAGAAAAUUUAAAAACCAUCUCAAUGAAGAUACAGUUUUGGUAUCAAUAGCUGUACAGUCAUUAGCAAUGUUUUACUGUAUAGCCACUCUAAGAGCAUCUUUCUCCUUCUCUUAUUUUCUUUUUCUUUUUCGUACCUUGUCUGUCCCAUGCUAUAACACGGUCUGAGCGAGUGCAUAGAUCUGAAUCUAUAAAAUAUUUUAUAUGCUCUCUUUCUUAACCAUGUUCCUUGAGCUUGAGUUGUUUAUCAGAAUCUGCUUUUUUUUCUAACCAUCUUUUUGACUUGCACACAGUUUAGUUGCCUGUUUUCACCACACCCAUACGUUGUGCUGACAGGGCCUUGUGUUUUUUUCAGCAUAGUUUUCCCAUCUGGGGCGUGUGCUUGUUAUUGUAGUAGGAUAGAUAAAAUACCUACGUAAAGACGUAUUCGGGCCAAACUGAGCGUAUUCCCAGAUUUAUGGCUUGUUAGAGUAGGAGGGAACUGAGAGGUCUUUGGAGCCAAAACCUCAGCUUUGCAGAUGAGACAAGAGGGACUUAGAGAAGGGACUUUGGGGCAAGAGGGACUUACACAAGAGGGGCUUCCUGGGCAUUAUGGAGCUCAUGAUUCAUCAGGGGAACAAAUGCCUUUAGAAGGGAACAGCUACCAACAAAAGAAACCCUAGACUGUCUUCCUGGGUUAAUUUAGAAUUCUUUACUGGCAAUAACUAGGGCCAUUGGAAGUACAGAAAAUUAAACACAUUAUCUUGUUUCUCUGAACUAAUAAGAAUAUUCUUCAAAUUGGAAAAACAGUAUCCUUUUGCAGAUUGCAAAUCAGAAGACAUCUAUCCAUAACAGGCAGCUUUACUGGAUGUUCAAAUUUCUUUUGAAGGUGUACAGUAGGUAUGACUACAAAUAAAAUUUUUCCUGUUUUGCAUCCUUAAUGUGCCUACCAUGCUGACCACCCCCUAUCACUCACUGCCUACCUUCCCUGCCUCCGCCCCUGACUCCAGCCUAAACACCCAUUGCAAAGGCAUCCUCAUUGCUUGUUUUCAGCUGGCUUUUGUUCUGGUCUCAUGUCAGCCCAUCUCCGAAUGCUUGGCUUGGCAACCUUAAACUCCAUUUCUGCCUGUGGUUCUUAGACUUGGUGUUUGGCCUUGGUCUCCAUGGAGUUUGAAUUUUGUUCUGUUCAGUAGAUGAGGAAACAAAGGCUGAAUGAGAACAGCAGCAAGUCUGAGCUUGCAAGGGGAGGCAGAAGCUCUUCUAGUUGGGAUUUCUUGAUACAGGGACCAUUCCAUUCAUCACAGAAUCACACUGACAAGAUGUGAACACAAAGGGAGGCUCUGCUAUGUCAAGGACCAGUGAGUAUAUUCUGAGCAGAUUGCCUGCCUUAAGGAAUAGUGUCCUUUACCAAUACCGGUGAGAGGCAUGGGACUUCCCUCAAAGGAACACCCUACCACAUGUUCAGAACUUGCCAUUUUCGGAUUCUCGGCCACUCAGCAUUCUCCAGCCACUCUCUACUCUUCUUCUUCACUGAUCUUAUUGCCCAUACCCGUGGUGCACACACCUUGCUCCUCUGAGCAAGCACACUAUUCACCUUCUAUGACCUGGGUUUCCCUUCUGACUUUACUUUUGUUUCUCCUGAGCAGUUUGAUCACCAAGCUUUCAGUUAAUAAUCCCUUUUUCACUUCUAGAAACUUCUUCCCGGACACCUCCCAUUCAGGCAACAUUUCACUCCACUCCUUUUGGAUGGAUUCAGGAAAGUGUAUAAAUUGUUCCUGAAUCAAGCAAAUUGCAGAUACUCUUUAGAGGUGUCUUUGGAUCAUUUCCUGAAGUCCUUUGCAGCUCUAGAAUUCUGUUUCUAUGACCCAUUGCUCCUGUUUCAAGGAUUCCAGCACUUCACCUGGCAAAGUUGUUUGCAUUUUGAAUAAUCUGUUACAGGAAUGUCAUCUUCAGGGCUUGGAAUGAUGGAGACUCUGUGCCAAUAAAAGCACACAAAGCCAUGGUCUUUUUGAAUGUAGAGAGAGCCUAAAACUCUCUUGUAUCCUUACCCAGGUUUGAAGCUCAAUUGUGGCUCAACAGAACUGAUUAACUCUCCCUGAACUCUUCUAGGGAAGAUCUCAAUAUACAGCCUGAGUCUCUCAGAUUUUGUGAAUGCAUGUUUCCCCUUGAUAUGAAGUGUAGCUGAUGGAAGGCAGCCCCUUUGAGGUGAUCAUUUUCUCAGUCUGUGUUUUUCUUGGCUUGGAUAUGGAACGUGGAGGUCUCUGAGCCCUUGGAAGAUGGACCCUGUGCACGUACUACUCAGCUCCUAGGCCUGUGUGGGAAAAAGUUCCUAAAGAAACAAAUUGAAAUUGAGCAAGAUCAAGUAUUCACUUGUGGGUUUCUGUGAAAGCUGUUUUUUUCAUUUUCCCCUUCACUUGCUUGUGGAUAUGUCUCAGGGCUGCCUCAUCUGGAGAGAUUUGUGCAUUAAGCCAAAAAAAUUUAUAAUUCAUAUCCCUUUCUGUUCUCUUGGGGCUUCAACACACAGACAAUCUUAUUGGCAUUCUCCAGCAUUCAUCUCCCUGCUUCCUGCCUGUUUCAGGACUGUCUUAGUGAGUUGCAACAUCCCUUCUCUCCAGCCCUGAUGCCUGUGUCUGUUGUAAGUCAGAUAUUCGGUUGUGCUCAAAGUGGAAGGAAACUGUUCUGCUUCACCAAGAAGAUGCCUUUCUGUACAACCACUAGCCUUUUUCCCCGCAUUUCAAAUUCUUGAACUGAGAGCCAGAAGAAAUGGUAGGAGACUGAAGGAUUCAAUGGCAAAGCCUUGUACCAAAUACCAAGUACCAUCCUCUCUUCUCUCUGCUCCAGGAGUUAUUCUUAGCUUGACGAUUUUGCAUAAACAUUGGACUAAGUGUAGGGCAAAUUCCCCCACCAUAAAAGAUGUUCUUCUAGAGAACGUUUAUUUCCUUUAGAAGCAAUGCUAAUUCUUUCAGGCCAAAGAAAGGACUUAAACUUUCUCAAACUUCCUAACUUGUAAGUGGAAAUAUGUUACUCUGAACAUUUUCAAAGCAUUCAGAGAGAUAUUAAAGAGAAUAAUUUAUGUCAAGGGAAAAUCUAGAUAAUUAAAUGCUCCAUUAAGGACUAUUCCCCUUUGCUUCUUUGUCUCCAAAUCAGUGAAGAGCCAAACAUCCUCUGUGUCUCCAAAUCAGUGAAGAGCCAAACAUCCAGCCCUCCUCUGGUAUUGCCCUCAGUCCCUUACUAAGUCUGAUGGUGAAAUUCAGUCCACCCAGCAUUCAGUCUAGACUUCAGGGCCAGAAGGAAAGAGGAUACAUUAGUCAGUAUGCUAAUUUUCGCUUUGCUUCCAGGUUCCUCUUAUAUCCUGGAGGAAGAUGGUAUAGUACAUUAGCACAUUAAUGAAUUCGUUAAUCCAUCCAUUCAUUCAUUCAGCACACACACUGUCUAGGUCCUCAGAGUAUGUGGGGUGGUGAGCUAAGUCUUAAUAUUCAAGAGUAAGAGUUUAGCUGCUCAAGAAAAACAUGUACAAAAGUAAAUGGACUGAAAUGUUGUACUCACUGUAAUAGACUAUAUGUAGGAACAAAGGAGAGAAAUAGAUGAUCUCUGGCUUGAUGAGAAAUGCUUGAGAUAAUAGGGCACUCAGCAUUUCCUAUGGCUGGUUUCACCAAGGGAUGAAGAUAGAAAUGGAAAAUCUUGUGUUUUCUGAGAAGCAAUUUGUGCUUUUUUCAGACAUUCGCUUAGUGCUUUCUAGUAACUGUUAUGAAAAGCCUACAUCUCACCUAGCUGAUGUCCCAGUGCUGGUGGUAAAGGAGUACCUGCUGCUGGUGAGGACCACUGAUGUAGAAGUCUAAUCUGGACAGAAUCUAGCUCCCUGUAAGAACCCAUAGUGAAUUUUACAUUGCAGGUCUCAAUAUGAAUCAAAGAACCAACGAAUCAGUGACAUGGGUCUUUUUCCUAGCUUUGUAACUAACUCACUGCAUGACCUCCUUAGGUUUCCUUUUUAAUAGUUGUACAAAUGGCUGCUCUGCUUUACUUCAUGGGGGUUGAUGUGAAAGAUCAAGUGAGAAAACCAAGGAAAUAUUUUGAAAUGUGUAAAGUUCUUGAAAAAACUAUACACGUAAUAAGAAAUGCUAUUAAUCAUUGUCUUUUGGGAAAAACAUGAUGUAGCGAAGGCAGGCAGGAGAGAAGGAAGAAAGGAAGGGAAGAAUAGAAAGAAGGGAAAGAAUGAGAGGGGUGGGGGAGAGAGAGAAAGGAAAGAGAACAGAAGAGAAGAAUACAAUGAAACACAUACUUAGACACCUGAAUCCAGGCUGUGGUCUCUGCAUAAUGCCGAGUAGAAGGUACUAGGAGGAAUGGAGAAUCUGGUCAAGAAGGAUCUCAUUAGCCUCAGAGGCUGUAACCUGCUAGGUUUGUUCGGACUCACUAUUCAAUGACUGGGAUUGAUUUUUUUCUGCUUCUACUAAAUUGGUAGCAGUUGAGGGGAACAUUUUUGGAUAAAUAUAUGACAUGAAACCAGCACUCGCUUGGUUUUAAAGUUCUUAUCUAUGCCUCCUUCAUAGGUUUCAGACAUGAAAUAGUAUACUGUUUAUGGAAAACUACUAGCCAGAACAUGGAGAAUACCAAAUGUGAGACUAAAGGCUAAGUUAAUUGUUUUCAUGACAGAUAAAACGGAAAGUUUUAUUACAAAUAGUCACCUGUAUAGCAAGACUUCAAAGGAAAAUUUUUAAAGUGUUAGGGGAUUGCGUUGCUUGAGCACAUGCUGUGCGCUGAGAACGGUACUAGGUCAUCAGGCGGGUGGUGAGAGGGUUUGGGAUAUGGACAGGGACACAAGAAAAACUUCAAAGGUAUGGAGAAAUAGUUCUUGUCCUUGGUGCACUGUACUCUUUAGAAUGGAUUACACAGUAUGCAGAGGAGAAAAAAAGAAAACAGUAAAUGCUAUGCAAUACAGUGGAAAGAAGAUCUGGGGUCAGCAAGACUGAGUUCUAAUUCUGACUAAAUGGAUGUGCAACCUUACCAGGUCAUGUCAACUUUCUGUCUUACAGGCCCUCUGCAAAAUGGAGAGAUUGGAGUAAACAGUCUCUGAGGUUCCUGACACCCCCAGAGUACAAGUUCAUUUAGUACCUAGAGAGUAUUGGUUUAUAAUAACA